GAAUAACAAAACCGUUCGCACUAGCAUUUUAGGUAAUACUAUUUGACAGCUGACAGCAUGUGUCAAGCGCCAAUUUUUUUCGAGCAGUUUGUUGUUUGUUUACAAAUAUGCAGCGAGAUUCUUCAAAUUAGAAUUCAAUUAUUAUUAAACAAUAAAUCUGUUUGCGAUUAAAGAACUAUUCCGCGGUAAUGAGAUUUAUUAAUUUGCUAUUUUCUUCGUAAUUGCAAGAAGCGGACCAAACUCCGAAGGCGUGAGUUCAGUAUGGGAUGAAACUGAUAGUGAUUAGUGUGCGCCAAGAAGCCAGAAGUAUUUGUGUGCUUCGUUUAAAUUUUAUUUUGCUAAUUUUUCCUUCGGAAAUCGGCUAGGAACUGUAAUUACAAGUAGGUUUCGUCACCGGUGAACGGGAUGUGAAGUCGAGGAUUCCAUAAAUAUUACACAGGCAGAAAGCAUCGAUGGAGCCUGGAAGGUCAAGAUGGAUCAGAAAUAAUACAAUGUUUAGCAGCUGCAAGACGAGCCAACGUGAAUUCAAGUUAAACAAAAUUGUAUCGCCAAAACAGUGUGACAAUGGAAUUCACGGAACAACUUCAGCGCGAUAAAACAGGAUUCCUGGAACCCGAACUAACUCGAGAACUACGGUGGAAAUUCCAAAAAUAUUCAGUGCUAUCGUUUGGAGCGACCGACGGCUUUCUACUGCGUUAAGUCCGAAACAGUUUAUUAUGCAAUAUAUUUUUGAAAUUUUCGAAAUAAUGUUACUGACGGUAAUAAUUUUAUGUAUUUAGAUGCGUCUAGUCCUUGGACCCAAUGGGAAGUGUCAUCAGUGUUGGUUGUCCUAAUAGAGGUAAUAAACUAUAGAGGGCGAUUGUCGCUGCGGUUCCCUUUGUUAUCGUCCCCAAACAUGUUGGGUACCUAUCUGUCAAAACGUACUGAUUUUUCCUUCGUUGACAUUUAGUGCCCUAUCCUCGCCAGCAAAAGAUGUAUCGCCAGUGACGACAGCGACAAUCUUCCUCUAUAGUUUAUUACCUCUAUAGUUGUCCUCCCCUAUUCGGUUGUAUCGUUGAUCGGAUUAUUCUGCACUUAUUUUGUAGAUCCAGUUUUGCUCAAAAGGUCACCAAUCGGAAAACCACAAGUUGCCGGUAGUGAUAGUAUUAUAAUUGUUUUUAAGAGUAAGAAACCCACCGUCGUUUCACCCACAAGAGGAUGUACGAAGUAACUUCCAAUUUUUAUAAUAAAAUAACAAUUAAACAACGCACGUAAUCAUCAUCAGAGGAGAUGGUAUUAGUUGCCAAAAUCAGCUAAAACCAUUCAUCACAUUCCAUUUAUAUCUCAACUUAGGUGAACGAGGGCAGGCACGGAACUACGUUGUUGUGUUUCGCUAGGGAGGGAUCGUGAAGUACUAAUAACUAUAAUAUAUACUAGACUAAAAUGAUUCGAACGAAAUAAAGAUAUUCAAACG